UACGUAGGGUGCAAGCGUUAAUCGGAAUUACUGGGCGUACAGCGUGCGCAGGCGGCUUUGCAAGACAGAUGUGAAAUCCCCGGGCUCAACCUGGGAACUGCAUUUGUGACUGCAAGGCUAGAGUACGGCAGAGGGGGAUGGAAUUCCGCGUGUAGCAGUGAAAUGCGUAGAUAUGCGGAGGAACACCGAUGGCGAAGGCAAUCCCCUGGGCCUGUACUGACGCUCAUGCACGAAAGCGUGGGGAGCAAACAGG
rnacentral:rRNA from 1 species